rnacentral:rRNA from 1 species
AAGGAUCAUUAUCGUAAAACCGAGGUGCGAGGGCUGUCGCUGACCUUUUCGGUCGUGCACGCCCGAGUGCUCUCACACAAUCCAUCUCACCCCUUGUGCACCACCGCGUGGGUCCCUCUCCGGCUCCUCCGGAGGGGGGCUCGCGUUUUCACACAAACUUGAAGUAGUGUAGAAUGUCCUUUUUUGCGAUAACACGCAAUCAAUACAACUUUCAACAACGGAUCUCUUGGCUCUCGCAUCGAUGAAGAACGCAGCGAAAUGCGAUACGUAAUGUGAAUUGCAGAAUUCAGUGAAUCAUCGAAUCUUUGAACGCACCUUGCGCCCCUUGGCAUUCCGAGGGGCACACCCGUUUGAGUGUCGUGAAAUUCUCAAAACCCUUUCUUUUGGUCAUUUUCGACCAUCGAAAGGAUUUUGGACUUGGAGGCCUUUUUGCUGGUUUCACCUUGAAGCGAGCUCCUCCCAAACGUAUUAGUGGGUCUGCAUUGUCGGUCCUUGGCGUGAUAAGUUGUUUCUACGUCUUGGAUUUUUGGCGCUGUACACCUGCUUCUAACCGUCUCAUGACAACGAUGGUGUUCCGGUCGCCGCCGAUUUUUCGGUGGGGGGCUUGGACCCACGAAACAAACCUUGACCUCAAAUCGGGUGAGACUACCCGCUGAACUUAAGCAUAUCAAUAAGCGGAGGAAAAGAAACUAACAAGGAUUCCCCUAGUAACUGCGAGUGAAGCGGGAAAAGCUCAAAUUUAAAAUCUGGUGGCCUCUGGUCAUCCGAGUUGUAAUUUAGAGAAGCGUCUUCCGCGCUGGACCGUGUACAAGUCUCCUGA